AUUCAGCUGACGAGUCCCGAAUAGGACGAAACGCGUGCCAAACUGGAU
rfam:Schistosoma rodhaini strain Burundi genome assembly, scaffold: SROB_scaffold0005190